UACAGAGGUCUCAAGCGUUGUUCGGAUUCAUUGGGCGUAAAGGGUGCGUAGGUGGCGCCGUAAGUCAGGUGUGAAAUUUCGGAGCUUAACUCCGAAACUGCAUUUGAUACUGGCGGUGCUUGAGGACUGGAGAGGAGACUGGGAAUUUACGGUGUAGCAGUGAAAUGCGUAGAGAUCGUAAGGAAGACCAGUGGCGAAGGCGGGUCCUGCUGGACGAGUUCCUGACAGCUGAGGCACGGAAGGCCAGGGGAGCAAACGGG
rnacentral:rRNA from 1 species